rnacentral:rRNA from 1 species
AGUGAACGCUGGCGGUAGGCCUAACACAUGCAAGUCGAACGGCAGCACAGUAAGAGCUUGCUCUUACGGGUGGCGAGUGGCGGACGGGUGAGGAAUACAUCGGAAUCUACUUUUUCGUGGGGGAUAACGUAGGGAAACUUACGCUAAUACCGCAUACGACCUACGGGUGAAGGCAGGGGAUCUUCGGACCUUGCGCGAUUGAAUGAGCCGAUGUCGGAUUAGCUAGUUGGCGGGGUAAAGGCCCACCAAGGCGACGAUCCGUAGCUGGUCUGAGAGGAUGAUCAGCCACACUGGAACUGAGGCACGGUCCAGACUCCUACGGGAGGCAGCAGUGGGGAAUAUUGGACAAUGGGCGCAAGCCUGAUCCAGCCAUACCGCGUGGGUGAAGAAGGCCUUCGGGUUGUAAAGCCCUUUUGUUGGGAAAGAAAAGCAGCAGGUUAAUACCCCGCUGUUCUGACGGUACCCAAAGAAUAAGCACCGGCUAACUUCGUG